rnacentral:rRNA from 1 species
UCCAGACUCCUACGGGAGGCAGCAGUGGGGAAUAUUGCACAAUGGGGGGAACCCUGAUGCAGCGACGCCGCGUGAGUGAAGAAGUAUUUCGGUAUGUAAAGCUCUGUCAGCAGGGAAGAAGAAAGACGGUACCUGACCAAGAAGCCCCGGCUAACUACGUGCCAGCAGCCGCGGUAAUACGUAGGGGGCAAGCGUUAUCCGGAUUUACUGGGUGUAAAGGGGGCGCAGACGGCGAUGCAAGCCAGGAGUGAAAGCCCGGGGCCCAACCCCGGGACUGCUCUUGGAACUGCGUGGCUGGAGUGCAGGAGGGGCAGGCGGAAUUCCUGGUGUAGCGGUGAAAUGCGUAGAUAUCAGGAGGAACACCGGUGGCGAAGGCGGCCUGCUGGACUGCAACUGACGUUGAGGCCCGAAAGCGUGGGGAGCAAACAGGAUUAGAUACCCUGGUAUC